UUUCUUCUAUUCUUUUCUCUAUACGUUGGUGUUCUAACCAAUAAUCACCGAUGCGAUGUUCUGUCCGAUCGAUUCAGGAACCAACUAACGGAUGCCAAAAUGUUGUACUUUGUGAAUUUCGUUAAACGGAUGCCAAAGUGCUAUACUUUGUGAAUUUCGUUAAACGAAUGCCAAAGUGCUGUCUAAACAAGACUAUACUUUGUGAAUUUCGUUAAGGUUCGGAUCUCGUGACCAUCGUUAGGUUUGAUGUGGCUUUACACUAAUACGUAUUCCACUCUGUUAAACUAAAUGUUUAGCUACCCGAAACUCUACACCAUACUCCUACAAUCAAAAUGGAUGUUGAAUCAUCAGAAGGUUCAAAACAAUAAAGUAUAUGCUUAAUUAUCAGAAGGAGUAGAAUCAAGAAGCUUAUUAAAUCAAUACUGCAUGCUUAUAAUGUAAUUACGGUAGGUCGGAAGAAGAGUUGGAUACGGCACCAAAAGGCUUACAGAAGUGGCUUAAUUUAUCAAUUAAAUUAAAUUAAGAAAAGUUGUUUUAUGUAUUCGGGUUUGUCCCAUAUUAAAGCUACCUUUCAAAACAUGGUUUUAUCCCAUCUAUUUAAUAAAUAAAAUCCAGUGUUUUCUAAACUCUGAUAUUUUUCCUAACUCACGGUCCUGAUGAAAUUUCCGUUGCACUACUUUUCUAAAUAACCACCGGUACCACUGAACUGGUUUGCGGCUCCCGAUUCCGUCCAGGGUGGGGUCGGGGGUCGUGACAUGGAAGCUUGUGAAGAAGCGGGUCAAGAAGAUCAAAUACGCGGGAAAACAUAAUCGGAUGCAAGUUAAGUAAAGCUUACAUCUUUUAAGUAGAAUAUCUACUUAUGUAUUGGUUAAUAACAAAGUGAUCUAGUAUUUGAAAUGAGUCUUUGAAAUAUGACGUUCCGAUACGAACCAAUACGGGUCAGAACAAGUAAAAAUGGUAAGAAACCAUAUUUGAUGGUAAAAAGGGUAAAACGGUAACUUGGUCACGUGUUGACAAAUAAACAAUGAGUUUUGAAAAGUUACCUUAUGGUGUAAGCCAUAAUGGGUACAAUGGUAAUCUGGUCACGUGUUGACGAAUAAAUAAUGAGUUUUGAAAAGACACCCUAUGGCAUAAGCCAUAAUGGGUCAAACGAAUAGAGAAACGACUUUUUAAAUAAUAUGAUCACAUGGUGUAAACCGUAACGGGCCAAAUGGAUGAGAUGGUAAAUAAAUACCAUCUCGCAAUACAUAAUGUUUGGUCAUCCUAACGCAAUAAGAGUAAGUCAAAAGGUGGGUAAAAUGGUCAUUUAGACCAAACGGGUCAAAUGGUAACCCAGACUUGUUAAAUCUAUGUCUGGGUUAUCAGUUGCUUUUAAGGCAUAACCCAGACGAGUUACCUGGUCAUCUGGAUUAUCAGUUGCUUUUAAGGCAUAACCCAGACGAGUUACCUGGUCAUCUGGGUUAUCAGUUGUUUUUAAGGCAUAACCCAGACGAGUUACCUGGUCAUCGUAUUGAGCUUUCAAGCGUAGCUAGAUUAGUUAUAGAUUUCAUAUAACUAAUGUAUACCACGAUUUAUGAUAUGUAGGUAAUAAUUGGAGUACCGGAUGACAAUCAAGCCCAAUGAAGAACCAAACACGGCCAAAUUAAAGCUUCCGCACUUUGUUUUGUUAUUACGAAUGAAAUCAAUGAUAACACAUUGAAUUGUUUAAUUUUUUUAUAAAGUUUUAAUAAACUUGUUUUAUCUUACAAAGGUAUAAUCUUAUAUAAAUUCUUUUAUAUGCGAAAUAUCAUAAAAUUUCGAUUUGUUAAUUAAAGGCAUUACAUAUAUAGUUUUGAAUAUCAUCUGAGGAUUGCAGACCGAUAUUGAUGUAGAUGUGUAGUUGUGUCUGAGUUUGAUUUAGAUUAUGUUGAUGUUGAAUUGGGUGUGAAUAGAUGUUUGGUAAGUCAACAGAGGUUUAAUAGUAUUAAAGGUUGGUUUAAGGGUGAACAGAUGAGUGUAAAGACAAAAUAAUGUAUAAAAUUUGAUCAUCAAUAAGAGUUCUUUGAAGAAUUUGAUCCUCCAAAUUAUAAAGAGUCAAUACUUGUUGUUGUAAAAGGUCUGUUGUAGCUAAAGUCUGGCAAAAGAGAGCAUCUGCUGAGGAAGAAUGUCUGAAGUCGCAAAGGUCUGCUAUGGGCCAACAGAUGUUAACGAACAACAGAUGAUAUUCAAAAUAUGCUGCUCAACAGAGGUUUACAUAGUAACAUUGGUUUGGCUAAUAGCAGAUGUUGGGAAUUUGUUAGGCUAUUAGAUGUUGCUCAGUAGGUGAGCAUUGUAAUUGUAAUCUUUGUAUAAGCAUGUUGCUGACAUCAUUCUUAUGAAACAACUGUUUAUCCUAAUGACUAUUGAUUUACCACUGCUGAAUAAAUGAAUAAAUUU
rnacentral:lncRNA from 1 species